AUUGAACGCUGGCGGCAUGCUUUACACAUGCAAGUCGAACGGCAGCGCGGGCUUCGGCCUGGCGGCGAGUGGCGAACGGGUGAGUAAUACAUCGGAACGUGCCCAGUAGUGGGGGAUAGCUCGGCGAAAGCCGGAUUAAUACCGCAUACGACCUGAGGGUGAAAGCGGGGGAUCUUCGGACCUCGCGCUAUUGGAGCGGCCGAUGGCAGAUUAGCUAGUUGGUGGGGUAAAGGCCUACCAAGGCGACGAUCUGUAGCUGGUCUGAGAGGACGACCAGCCACACUGGGACUGAGACACGGCCCAGACUCCUACGGGAGGCAGCAGUGGGGAAUUUUGGACAAUGGGCGAAAGCCUGAUCCAGCAAUGCCGCGUGUGUGAUGAAGGCCUUCGGGUUGUAAAGCACUUUUGGCGGGAACUAAAAGGACUGUGCCGAUACCACGGUUCGAUGACGGUACCCGCAGAAUAAGCACCGGCUAACUACGUG
rnacentral:rRNA from 1 species